CCCCAAAUUGAAAUUAUUCAUGAUUCCCCCAAAACCCCAAAUCCCGCCCGCAGCUUUCUUUCAUCCUGAACCUGAAGAUCAAAUCUGGCAGCCUGUGAUUGUUCCCGCCGGUAAACUAACUGCCGCACACCGUUGGUCUUAGCUUGAAGACGAAAGCCCACCGAAACCCAACAUCGAAAUCCUAUUUGAAGACGGAAGUCGAAACGUAGAUGAUGGACAAAGGAAAAGAGAUUAUGAAAGAUGAGAAUCAUGAUUUGUUGGUAGAAUGUGAUAACGAGAACACAAUGGCCAAUUUGAACACACUGGACAACGGACAAUUAGGAAAAGAUGCUGCAACUACACCCGAGAACCAACUCUCUCAGCUGCAUGACUUGUUGACGUUGUUCAAUGACUUGUUGGGUGCAGUAAUUUAAGGUCACAUUCUCAUUUUCUGGAAAUUCACGUCACCUGGACAAUUGUUUUACUGGAUUUGAAUGACGCUAGUGAAUGCAUAAACCCCAAAGUUUAUGUAACUUGUUUGUGGUGAACUGGGCUGAUUUGAACAACUUAGCUUGGUUGUGAUGUAAUUGGCUUAUUUAUUUAUUUUCCUUUUUUCAGUCAAUUGUAUAUUUGAACAACUUUUUCUAUCAUUGAUUUUUAUUAAUUUUAGCAUAAUUUAGGAUUUUGAUAA